AUGCAGGUACUGUUACAAUACAACUGACGUGUUUUAUUGUCGUUCCCCCUGCUUAAAGCACUUGAUGCAUAACUCUCUCUAACUCCAUUCCGUAGUAAGACAGAGACGCUUGGCUUCAAACAU
ensembl:snoRNA SNORA63 Small nucleolar RNA SNORA63